UACAGAGGUCUCAAGCGUUGCUCGGAAUCACUGGGCGUAAAGCGCACGUAGGCGGAUCGCUAAGUCAGGGGUGAAAUCCUGGAGCUCAACUCCAGAACUGCCUUUGAUACUGGCAAUCUCGAGUCCGGGAGAGGUGAGUGGAACUGCGAGUGUAGAGGUGAAAUUCGUAGAUAUUCGCAAGAACACCAGUGGCGAAGGCGGCUCACUGGCCCGGUACUGACGCUGAGGUGCGAAAGCGUGGGGAGCAAACAGG
rnacentral:rRNA from 1 species